rnacentral:rRNA from 1 species
GCCCGAGCGCUCUCGCACAAUCCAUCUCACCCCCUUGUGCAUCACCGCGUGGGUCCUCCUCCUCGGGAGGGCUCGCGUUUUCACACAAAACUCGAUACAGUCCAGAACGUUUGUUUAUGCGGUCACACGCAAUCAAUACAACUUUCAACAACGGAUCUCUUGGCUCUCGCAUCGAUGAAGAACGCAGCGAAAUGCGAUACGUAAUGUGAAUUGCAGAAUUCAGUGAAUCAUCGAAUCUUUGAACGCACCUUGCGCCCCUUGGCAUUCCGAGGGGCACACCCGUUUGAGUGUCGUGAAAUUCUCAAAACCCUUUUCUUUGACCGGAAGAGGACUUUUGGACUUGGAGGUUCCAUGCUCGCUUUCGCCUUUGAAAGCGAGCUCCUCUCAAAUGAAUUAGUGGGGUCCGCUUUGUCGAUCCUCGACGUGAUAAGAUGUUUCUACGUUUUGGAUUUGGCACUGUCUUUCGGAAGGCCCGCUCCUAACCGUCCCAUGGACAAACGAUGGUGCUCCGGUCCGCCGCCGAAUCUACGUUCGCGGUGGGCUCGACCCACGACGAAACCCUUGA